rnacentral:rRNA from 1 species
AACGAACGCUGGCGGCAUGCCUAACACAUGCAAGUCGAACGAGACCUUCGGGUCUAGUGGCGCACGGGUGCGUAACGCGUGGGAAUCUGCCCUUGGGUUCGGAAUAACAGUUAGAAAUGACUGCUAAUACCGGAUAAUGACGUAAGUCCAAAGAUUUAUCGCCCAAGGAUGAGCCCGCGUAGGAUUAGCUAGUUGGUGAGGUAAAGACUCACCAAGGCGACGAUCCUUAGCUGGUCUGAGAGGAUGAUCAGCCACACUGGGACUGAGACACGGCCCAGACUCCUACGGGAGGCAGCAGUGGGGAAGUCUUGCGCAAUGGGCGGAAAGACCUGACGCAGCGACGCCGCGUGA